rnacentral:rRNA from 2 species
CGAAUUCUCUUUGACUAGGGAUCCAAAGAGGGUGCUAGACCCUUACGCAUUGUUGACUUUUCGUACGCGUUCGUUUCUUGGAGUAGGGUUGUUUUGGAUCGCAGCCCAAAGUAGGUGGUAUACUUCAUCUAAAGCUAAAUACGACUACGAAUCCGAUAGCAAACAAGUACCGUGAGGGAAAGUUGCAAAGUACUUUGAAGAGAGAGUUCAAGAGGACGUGAAACCGGUAGGGUGGAAGCAGAUAAAGUUGACGAACGUGUGUCGUAUUCAGAACUACAGUUUGUGGUUUGUUUUUACGAUCGAUGUGGGCUGGCGUCUUUGGUUAACUUAGUGUCUGGCGGCAAUGGUGACCCUGCGGAGGGAUAAUCGGUUGUCGUGCGAUGCUUGGUAUGGCUAGAGGUUCGCUGGUCUUAUAGUCAUCGCUUUAUCUGACCCGUCUUGAAACACGGACCAAGGAGUGUWUCGCUUACGCGAGUCUUAGAGUGUGUCAAAACUUUGAGGCGUAACGAAAGUAAAUGUGGAUUUAUUCACUGACUUGGGAUGCGUUGUCUUUUUUGGAUAGCGUUGGACCAUGGUUUUAUCGUAAUCGCUUGCGAUGCGGUGAAAAUAGAGCGUAAGCGGUGCGA